ACACAUGCAAGUCGAACGAGCGAGAGAGAGCUUGCUUUCUCAAGCGAGUGGCGAACGGGUGAGUAACGCGUGAGGAACCUGCCUCAAAGAGGGGGACAACAGUUGGAAACGACUGCUAAUACCGCAUAAGCCCACAGGUCGGCAUCGACCAGAGGGAAAAGGAGCAAUCCGCUUUGAGAUGGCCUCGCGUCCGAUUAGCUAGUUGGUGAGGUAAUGGCCCACCAAGGCAACGAUCGGUAGCCGGACUGAGAGGUUGAACGGCCACAUUGGGACUGAGACACGGCCCAGACUCCUACGGGAGGCAGCAGUGGGGAAUAUUGCACAAUGGGGGAAACCCUGAUGCAGCGACGCCGCGUGGAGGAAGAAGGUCUUCGGAUUGUAAACUCCUGUUGUUGAGGAAGAUAAUGACGGUACUCAACAAGGAAGUGACGGCUAACUACGUGCCAGCAGCCGCGGUAAAACGUAGGUCACAAGCGUUGUCCGGAAUUACCGGGUGUAAAGGGAGCGCAGGCGGGAAGACAAGUUGGAAGUGAAAUCUAUGGGCUCAACCCAUAAACUGCUUUCAAAACUGUUUUUCUUGAGUAGUGCAGAGGUAGGCGGAAUUCCCGGUGUAGCGGUGGAAUGCGUAGAUAUCGGGAGGAACACCAGUGGCGAAGGCGGCCUACUGGGCACCAACUGACGCUGAGGCUCGAAAGUGUGGGUAGCAAACAGGAUUAGAUACCCUGGUAGUCCACACCGUAAACGAUGAUUACUAGGUGUUGGAGGAUUGACCCCUUCAGUGCCGCAGUUAACACAAUAAGUAAUCCACCUGGGGAGUACGACCGCAAGGUUGAAACUCAAAGGAAUUGACGGGGGCCCGCACAAGCAGUGGAGUAUGUGGUUUAAUUCGACGCAACGCGAA
rnacentral:rRNA from 1 species